rfam:Leersia perrieri chromosome 10, whole genome shotgun sequence.
AUACUUACCUGGACGGGGUCGACGGCCGAUCAAGAAGGGCCGUGGCCUAGAUCAAUGGCUCACAUUGCACUUGGUGAGCGCGUUGGUCUACCAUCUCCCCAAGUGGGAGAGUGGACGUCAUAAUUUGUGGUAGAGGGGAUACGCGUCCGCGCGGCCCCUGU